rnacentral:tRNA from 1 species
CGAAGGGUCAGCUAAAUUAAGCUAUUGGGCUCAUAACCCAACAAUGGUCUCACCUCCUUCGA